ensembl:snRNA U6 U6 spliceosomal RNA
UUGCUUCUGUAACACAUACACUGAACCUGGACUGAUACAGAGAAGAUUAGUAUGGCCUUUGCACAAUGAUGGUCUGUGAAUUCAUGAGCCAUUCCAUGAAACC